GAAUCUUUCUCGGAACUCUCACUCUCUUUUACCUUUUCACCCUUUAUCUCUCUCUCGAACCUCUCCCUCUCACUCCCUUUCCCAAUCGAAUUCACGCACACCCAAGCCACCACGACUACGGCGCAACACCACUAGCAGCUUCGUGGACUUUCUCUCACUCUCCCUCACCUCUGUGGAGUUCGGUGAAGCCCAUAAACCCAGGAAAACCCUCGGCGCACCCGUGACCCUUGAACCCAGAUUUCAGGCCAUCUUCGUCAUUUUCACGGCAAACCAAAGAAUUUAGAUUUGAGGUAUACGGUUGGGAAUCAACACCUUUAAUAUUGAGCAGAAGGUUGUGACAGAUCACAGACAUUUAGCAUCUCCAAGUGAAAGUACCGAACCACACCAAAUAACAUGGAAGACCCCGACCAUUUGAACCAAUUGGGAAUCAACACCUUUAAUAUUUAAUAGAUAGUGAAACAUAUUUAAGAGAAGAAAAAAUAACACACAAAAAAGAGAAGAGGUAGAGAAAGAACCUGCAGUAGCUGCAACAACAACAUCUUCUGCAGAGUCCCUUUUGUGUAGGACCAGCCUGGUUUUGUAGCCUGCAUGAGAGGCGUAGAAGUCGGCGAGGGCCAUGUCAAUGCAGCUCAUCCCCAUUUUCCCAAACCCGGUGUCCAAGUCAAGAACCACUCCCACAUGUACUGGGAUUAAUGUUGUGUUUUGUGCCCCGACGAAGAAAAUCCUAAAGAAUAUGAAGAAAAGAAAGACGAGUUUGAUCAUAGGGUUUUUUGUCAUGUUUGAAAACUCUCUCUUGGAAGGUUUGGAAUUCAUGGCCCGGGGUGAGGGAGACUAGGAAACUUAUUUAUAAGAUGAUAGUCAGUAGGAUUUUUAAUAUAACAACAAUCAAUUUGAAUAUUCAAACGAAGAAGAAGUGUCCCCUACUGCUGACUCGCUGACUGCUGAUGAGGAGGUAUUUCAAAGAAAUUUCCUAUUCAUUUCUAAGAAACAAGUUGGUAUGGUUUUUCAUAAUUCGAAUACAAGAAAGAAUUGAGUAAAGCAGUAUGGUAAAGAAGAAGAGUAAGAUGAAGACAAGAAAAACAGGGUUGAUCAUAGAAUUCUUGGUCAUGUUCGUAUGCUCCUUUGAAUGGUUUGGAAUAAAUUGAUGGUGUCGACCAUAAGGAAGUUUCCUCUUACCACUGAGUCACUAGCUGUUGAUCAAGAGGGAAUUUGAAGAAGCUUCAUCCUCAUUCUUAAGAAACAAGCGUGUAUGGUUUUUCGUUUUGUAUACAGGAAGAGAUUUUCCUAUUCAUUCCUAAGAAACAAGCUGGUAUGGUUUUUCAUAAUUCGAAUACAAGAAAGAAUUGAGUAAAGAAUUAUCUACCUCAGAAGAAAAAUAAGUAAUGGUGGAUACAGUGAGUCAAGACAGUUUUGCCACAGCUACAUUGAUCCAUUCGUGUUGAAGAAAUGGCAUCCAUCAGCGGAUUUGAAUUUGAUUCAAUGAACCUUCUUCUAAACUAAAGCAGGAGACUUGGUUUAUACUCUAUACUCUAAUGAUGUUUUUAUACUAAGUAGUUUUCUUGUACUUGUUUUUAAGAUGGAAAAUCAAGGUUGACAUUCCACCACAAAACCAAUUGA